rnacentral:misc_RNA from 1 species
GAAAUGCGAUAAGUAGUGUGAAUUGCAGAAUUCAGUGAAUCAUCGAAUCUUUGAACGCACAUUGCGCCCUUUGGUAUUCCAAAGGGCAUGCCUGUUCGAGCGUCAUUUGUACCCUCAAGCUUUGCUUGGUGUUGGGCGUCUUGUCUCCAGUUCGCUGGAGACUCGCCUUAAAGUAAUUGGCAGCCGGCCUACUGGUUUCGGAGCGCAGCACAAGUCGCGCUCUCUUCCAGCCAAGGUCAGCAUCCACAAAGCCUUUUUUUCAACUUUUGACCUCGGAUCAGGUAGGGAUACCCGCUGAACUUAAGC